UCUUAAGAUAAACAUUGUACAUCUAAGUUAACUUAUUCAACUUGAGUUUCUGCAUUUGGACUUUGAAGUUCCUCUUCCUCUUUCUUUGAUCAUUUUCCAAGGAUGUUUUUUCAAGUAUACCUACAUAAUUAAAAACUUCUACUUCUGUCUAUUAGAGGCUAGUUCACCAAAGGUUUUUAGAGAUUUGCGAAAGAGAGAGAGUUGUCAUAAUGAAGAAACAAGAAUAGAGGAGAAAGAGGCAAGACUAUAGAGAAGAAGAAGAAGAAGCUUGAAAAUUUUUCAUCCAUGGUGUCAAGUAAAGAUGCAAUUAGAGACCCAUUGAGUUGCUUCCAUUGAUAAGGGCUGUUUGGUCUUAUGUUCCUUUUCUCUCCGCAUUGAUGGAAUGUAGGAAUGGAGGAGGAACUUUCUUCACUUUGCUUCUGGAUUUGGAGCUUUAGGAAUUCCAUGAAUUUUAAAAACAUAAACUCCAUGAAUUCACUACUUUUAGUUUUUUAUUCUUUAUCUUCUACAUCCAUAUCUUUAAUGUUUGUGACUUUUAUUGCAAUACUUUUCUUCUUCUUCUUGUGAUCUUCUUCGUCAAUAUCUAGUCUCUUGAGCUCUAUAUCAUGUUCCUUCAAUUUACCAAAAAGGGUGUGUGUGUCCAUAGUUUCUAAAUCAUGAAAUUCAUAAACCAUAGUGACUUUUAGUUUCCAGCAACAAUUUAGGCUUUUAAGAAUUUUUACAACUAGUUCCUCAUUUGAAAAUGUUUUUCCCAGAGUACAAAUAUGAAUCACGGUAUUGAUCAAUCGUGUUUUCAUUCUUAAGUGUUCAUAAUAUUGGGUUAAUGUACCUAACCUUGCA